rnacentral:lncRNA from 1 species
CUUUCGCAACCGCCGGUCCCUGAGAUCGUCCCAUCAGCUGCUCAACAACCUGCAGCCGGGUGCAAUUUCCACAAUCCAGCCAUGGAGCCUGGGGCAGCAGACCGAGCAGCCCCUUUCGCGAAGACACCCCCACCACCCGCGUCCAAGAAUGGUAACCAAAGCGCAGAGAAGGCGGCAGGAGGGUGGAGACCCCAGCCAAGGAAACAACAAAAAGUCUCUCCUUCCCCCUUUCUUCUGCUACACAGCCAUGGAGAAGGGGAAGGGGCCGCGAGGGCCAGGGGUGGCUUCUUCUCCGCCAAUCCCUCCUCCUUCU